AAACAUCAAGUCCUCUGCUGCAUGUGGUCCAGCUGAAUAUAUAAUAGGUGGUGAAUGUUGUCCUAUGUGUUCACCAGGAAACCAUGUAUACAGACAUUGUACAAACAAUCAAAGUACUUCCUGUGUUCCCUGUAUUGGCUCCACCUACCUUGAUAAACUCAAUGGUCUUACAGCAUGUACACCAUGUACACACUGUGACCCAGUCUUUGGUUUGAUGGUAAAACAUCCAUGUAGACCUUCAUCAGACACUGUCUGUGAGCCACUGGAGGGGUUCUACUGUAUAGACCCAACUAAGGAUGGUUGUAAAGCAGCCCAGAGACACAGCAGCUGUAAACCUGGUCAAUACAUCAGACAGAAAGGAACUCCAUCUACAGACACUGUGUGUGUUGACUGUACUGGUGACACCUAUUCAGAUGGAUCAUUUACAUCCUGUCAACCACACACACAAUGUGACACUUUGAAUCUUCAAGAAAUUAAACCUGGAACGUUUAGGUCUAACCCCGAAUGUGGACCAAAGACCUCAUAUCUUAUACCUGUAAUUGUAUCUACAGUUUUGGUGCUCGUUUUUUUAAUAACUGGAAUUAUCAUAUUCAUUUUAGUAAGGAAA